UACGGAGGGUGCGAGCGUUGUCCGGAAUCACUGGGCGUAAAGGGCGCGUAGGCGGCGCGGGAAGUCAACGGUGAAAGCUUGGGGCUCAACCCCGAGUCGGCCGUCGAUACUCCCGUGCUCGAGCACUGUAGAGGCAGAUGGAAUUCCGGGUGUAGCGGUGGAAUGCGUAGAGAUCGGGAAGAACACCCGUGGCGAAGGCGGUGUGCUGGGUUGCAACUGACGCUGAGAUGCGAAAGUGUGGGGAGCAAACGGG
rnacentral:rRNA from 1 species